rnacentral:lncRNA from 1 species
GCUGUGUUUGCACAUCUGCGGUGGCCUCCUGAAUUGAGUUUUCUUUAUUUCCAGUGUCGCACCAUGAAAGGAAAUGAGAUUAUGGCACAAAUCAUCGGCCACGUGACUCUAGCAUAGGAGGUUAGUGAGAUAUUGCGGAGGAUAAUUCCACGGCCCCAUGGCCCCUGACAAUAAUUACGAUGUGACCACAGGGGAUCACCUUCUAAUAGGCUUUUGUUCACUGGAUUCAGAGUCUGUUGUGUGCUCCAGUUUGGAUAAUUAAAGUUGUGUCUCCAACGCCACAUGUGGUAGCUUAUAAUUAUGUAG